CCGAGUUUACAGCUCCCAAACCCCUGUGAACAUACCUAUACGUUGCCUCGGCGGAUCAGCCCGCGCCCCGUAAAAAGGGACGGCCCGCCCGAGGACCCCUAAACUCUGCUUUUAGUGGAACUUCUGAGUAAAACAAACAAAUAAAUCA
rnacentral:misc_RNA from 1 species